rnacentral:lncRNA from 1 species
UUCUGCCCUGACUAUUAAAAUUCCACCCCGCCUCUUGCUCCGAAUUCAUGACGGAUUAAAAAAUAUAUUCUAUAAUUCGCCCCACCUCAUAAUCCACCUCCUGCCGACGCCCCCUAAUCUACCCCGCCAAUUAAUAUUUUUUUUUAAAAUUAUAAUAUUAUUAAUAUUUUGUAAAGUAUAAAUUAAUAAUAUUUUAAUAAUAAUAAAUAAUAUUACUUAGUUAUAUAUAAAAUUAACCAUAUCAAUUGUAAAAAAAAAUAAUAUCCACCGCAAUUCGAAGUAAAAUUCAAAAUUUUCAAAUAUAUGAGAAAUGUUGAGAGCACCAACUUAUUUGUGUUUUAAAUUUUUUUAUAAAUAUAUUAUUUUUAGGAAUAUUUUCUUCAAAUAUAAAUAUUCGGGACGGAUCAUGGCGAGACGGAUUCGGAUUUCGGAGUGCGUAAAAGAUAAAAUUUCUGUUUUCUGCUCCGAAUCCGUCUCGAAUAAUAAAAAUUAUUCUAUUUUCUGUUUUGAAUCCGUUUAUUUAUUUUUAUUUACUGUCCAAUUCGGGACGCGUUAUGAUAAAAACUCUACCAAUCCGGAUCUGUUUGCAUCUCAACUUAUGAGAACAGAAAUUAGGGUGACGAAAUGGAGUGGUGGUGGGGAAGGCGUUUGGAUAUUAUUUACUUAAUAAAUUUAUAUAGUUGAGAGAAUUAUAUUAAAUAUAUACUAACUAAAUAUGUAAAAAUUUGGAUUAAUCUUAAAGUCAAAUUGUCGUUGAAAAAUUCAAAUCAAAUAAAGAAGAAUAUUAAAUAGUCAAUUUAAAAUAAUUUAUAAU